rnacentral:tRNA from 1 species
UAGCCUAGUGAUUAAGGCUACGGAUCGCCAAUCCGGAGACGGUGGGUUCGAUUCCCGU